AGCAGCGCCGCGGGAAUACAGAGGGUGCGAGCGUUAAUCGGAUUUACUGGGCGUAAAGCGUGCGUAGGCGGCUUCUUAAGUCGGAUGUGAAAUCCCUGAGCUUAACUUAGGAAUUGCAUUCGAUACUGGGAAGCUAGAGUAUGGGAGAGGAUGGUAGAAUUCCAGGUGUAGCGGUGAAAUGCGUAGAGAUCUGGAGGAAUACCGAUGGCGAAGGCAGCCAUCUGGCCUAAUACUGACGCUGAGGUACGAAAGCAUGGGGAGCAAACAGGAUUAGAUACCCCAGUAGUCCCUGUCUCUUAUACA
rnacentral:rRNA from 1 species